UGAGCAUGCCUGUCGGGACCCGA
rnacentral:sRNA from 1 species